GCCUGGGUAGCUCAGUUGGCAGAGCAUCAGACUUUUAAUCUGAGGGUCCAGGGUUCAAGUUCCCUGUCCAGGCA